rnacentral:rRNA from 1 species
AAAUGAAUUGACGGGGGCCCGCACAAGCAGCGGAGCAUGUUGUUUAAUUCGAAGCAACGCGAAGAACCUUACCAGGUCUUGACAUCCGAUUAAAGCCGUAGAGAUACGGUGUUCCUUCGGGAGAAUCGAGACAGGUGGUGCAUGGUUGUCGUCAGCUCGUGUCGUGAGAUGUUGGGUUAAGUCCCGCAACGAGCGCAACCCUUAUGGUCAGUUACUAACACGUAGCGGUGAGGACUCUGACAAGACUGCCGGGGACAACUCGGAGGAAGGUGGGGACGACGUCAAAUCAUCAUGCCCCUUAUGACCUGGGCUACAAACGUGCUACAAUGGUGACAACAAAGAGGAGCGAGACCGUAAGGUGGAGCGGAUCUCAAAAAAGUCAUCCCAGUUCGGAUUGUGGGCUGCAACCCGCCCACAUGAAGUUGGAGUUGCUAGUAAUCGCGAAUCAGCAUGUCGCGGUGAAUACGUUCCCGGGCCUUGUACACACCGCCCGU